rnacentral:rRNA from 1 species
CGCGGCCUAUCAGCUUGUUGGUGGGGUAAUGGCCUACCAAGGCGACGACGGGUAGCCGGCCUGAGAGGGCGACCGGCCACACUGGGACUGAGACACGGCCCAGACUCCUACGAGAGGCAGCAGUGGGGAAUAUUGCACAAUGGGCGCAAGCCUGAUGCAGCGACGCCGCGUGAGGGAUGACGGCCUUCGGGUUGUAAACCUCUUUCACCAGGGGCGAAUUUAGACGGUACCUGGAGAAGAAGCACCGGCCAACUACGUGCCAGCAGCCGCGGUAAUACGUAGGGUGCGAGCGUUGUCCGGAAUUACUGGGCGUAAAGAGCUCGUAGGCGGUUUGUCGCGUCGUUCGUGAAAACUUGAUGCUUAACAUCAAGCGUGCGGGCGAUACGGGCAGACUUGAGUACUACAGGGGAGACUGGAAUUCCUGGUGUAGCGGUGAAAUGCGCAGAUAUCAGGAGGAACACCGGUGGCGAAGGCGGGUCUCUGGGUAGUAACUGACGCUGAGGAGCGAAAGCGUGGGUAGCGAACAGGAUUAGAUACCCUGGUAGUCCACGCCGUAAACGGUGGGUACUAGGUGUGGGUUCCUUUCACGGGAUCCGUGCCGUAGCUAACGCAUUAAGUACCCCGCCUGGGGAGUACGG